UUGGUGUGUGUGUGUUGGUGUGUGGGUGUGUGUGUGUUGGUGUGUGUGUGUUCCAGCAGCAGCUCCCUCAGCUCCUCUGAUAAACAGACUCUGGAUCGACUCCAGCCUUCUGGAAAUCUCGUCUCUUUGUUCUGCUGAUUUGGACCAAACCGGUCUCCGUCCCUCGGCUCCUCCAGGACCUUCCAGGAUUCUCCAGAACCUGUUUGAUGUGGACCUGGAGCCCGUCCUAAGCACUGCAGUGAUCGUGGAUCAGAAAACACAGAGUCUCACACACACAUGCACACACACACACACACACACACACACACAGUUACUGUAGGAUGAAGGAUUUUCCAUCUUUUUCUCAGCAGCAUAAAACUCUAAAGGAGAACACUGAGGAACAGAACCGGAUCAGAACCACAUGUCUAGAUGACAUCAGGCAGUUCUGGCGCUGAUGACCUGGUCAGGGUGGAGAGGUUCUGGUUCUGGUUGGUCCAGUGGCAGCGACCUUGCUGGUGUCAGUCAGUGAUGAAUUUAAUGAUUCAGAGCAGGAAGUCGGUGAUGAAACAGGAAGUGUCCAGUUGUUGCUUGUUGCCUCCAAACUCCAACAACCAGGUGACGCCGUGGGGCUCUUCCAGGUAGAAAGUGAUUAGAGCUUCGUCCACCUUGACGAGGCGGCGGCAUCAUGUGACCAAUAAGGAGGAAGACACCAGGAAGAGAUGAGGAAGAGGAUCCCAGAAUGUUGAACUGGAGACCAGUUCCAGCUGCUGGGUGGACAAUCCAUACAGAACCAGCAGGACCUGAGGUGUUUCCAUGGUGGCUUUUUUCCUGGUGCCUCCUUUCCACUCAUAAAGUUCCCAGGAUGCUGGAAGUCAGAUCGGAUCUCCUCCGAAUCCCAGAGGAAGCCAAAGGGUUUCACGAUUCUGUUCUGGUCUGGAUAAGUUCCUUUGGGUCCAGAUUAGAGAACUUUUGCUGAGAAGGUGUUUAACUAACCGGAGAUGGGACACCCUGUGAAGACGCUGCUGCCUCCCGGCCUGCAGGGGGCGCUGCAGGCAUUCUGUGUUGAGCCGAGAGGAAGCGGACAAAGACGCUCAUGAUUUUACUGCUUAAAGUUUAGAUUACUUUUAGAUCUUCUGAUAAUUUAGCAACUUUUCAUGUAUUGUGGCGUAUAAAACUUUUUCUGAGUGUUUUAUUUGAGUUUACUCUUGUAAACCGACCUUUUGACUGAUUGAGGUUUUAAAUGUCAAUAAAUCGUCUCUGAGUUAAUAAACAAAAGACAGAUUGAGUCAGAGGUUCCUUAAAGCCUGUGGUUCUGAUCUGCUGGUUCU